AUACGGGAGGCAGCAGUAAGGAAUAUUGGACAAUGGUCGCAAGACUGAUCCAGCCAUGCCGCGUGCAGGAUGAAUGCCCUAUGGGUUGUAAACUGCUUUUAUACGGGAAUAAACCCGGGUACGUGUACCCGGCUGAAUGUACUGUAAGAAUAAGGGUCGGCUAACUUCGUGCCAGCAGCCGCGGUAAGACGAAGGACCCAAGCGUUAUCCGGAUUCAUUGGGUUUAAAGGGUGCGUAGGCGGGUUGAUAAGUCAGUGGUGAAAGCCUGCAGCUUAACUGCAGAACAGCCAUUGAUACUGUCGAUCUUGAAUGUGUUUGAUGUGGGCGGAAUAUGACAUGUAGCGGUGAAAUGCUUAGAUAUGUCAUAGAACACCGAUUGCGAAGGCAGCUCACAAAGCCACUAUUGACGCUGAGGCACGAAAGCGUGGGGAUCAAACAGGAUUAGAUACCCCGGUAGC
rnacentral:rRNA from 1 species